rnacentral:rRNA from 1 species
GACGAACGCUGGCGGCGUGCCUAAUACAUGCAAGUCGAACGCAGUGGGGACGGGUGAGUAACACGUGGGUAACAGCCCAUCAGAGGGGAUAACACUUGGAAACAGGUGCUAAACCGAUACUGAUGGAUGGACCCGCGGGGGAUUAGCUAGUUGGUGGGGUAACGGCUCACCAAGGCCACGAUCCAUAGCCGGCCUGAGAGGGUGAUCGGCCACACUGGGACUGAGACACGGCCCAGACUCCUACGGGAGGCAGCAGUAGGGAAUAUUCGGCAAUGGACGAAAGUCUGACGGAGCAAUGCCGCGUGUGUGAAGAAGGUUUUCGGAUCGUAAAGCUCUGUUGUUAGAGAAGCGGUAUCUAACCAGAAAGCCACGGCUAACUACGUGCCAGCAGCCGCGGUAAUAC